rnacentral:rRNA from 1 species
CACGAACGCUGGCGGCAGGCUUAACACAUGCAAGUCGAGCGCCCCGCAAGGGGAGCGGCAGACGAGUGAGUAGCGCGUGGGAAUCUACCCAUCUCUACGGAAUAACGCAUGGAAACGUGUGCUAAUACCGUAUACGUCCUUCGGGAGAAAGAUUUAUCGGAGAUGGAUGAGCCCGCGUUGGAUUAGCUAGUUGGUGGGGUAAAGGCCUACCAAGGCGACGAUCCAUAGCUGGUCUGAGAGGAUGAUCAGCCACACUGGGACUGAGACACGGCCCAGACUCCUACGGGAGGCAGCAGUGGGGAAUAUUGGACAAUGGGCGCAAGCCUGAUCCAGCCAUGCCGCGUGAGUGAUGAAGGCCCUAGGGUUGUAAACCUCUUUCACCGGUGAAGAUAAUGUCGGUAACCGGAGAAGAAGCCCCGGCUAACCUCGUGCCAGCAGCCGCCGUAACAC